rnacentral:rRNA from 1 species
UACGGAGGGGGCGAGCGUUAUUCGGAAUUAUUGGGCGUAAAGGGCGCGUAGGCGGCCUUGCAGGUCAAAGGUGAAAUCCCUCGGCUCAACUGAGGAACUGCCUUUGAAACUGCACGGCUUGAGGCCGGGAGGGGGUAGCGGAAUUCCCAGUGUAGCGGUGAAAUGCGUAGAUAUUGGGAGGAACACCAGUGGCGAAGGCGGCUACCUGGACCGGUUCUGACGCUGAUGCGCGAAAGCGUGGGUAGCAAACAGG